ACUAGAUGACACGCCCCUCGGGCUGUCGGGGGGUCGAGAUAGUGGAGGGUUCCUGAUGCCAGCUCACGGCGGGAAUCCAGGGAAUUAGGUAAUGAACGGUCUACCCAUGAAGGGGACCAAUUAGUGCCUCUCGCGUGGUCCUGAAGACCUUUAAAUUAUUCUUUCAGCUGAUGCGAAGAGCCUCUUUUUGGGCAGCACUUACUAAGCACCAGAGACACAGCGAGAAGCAGAAGCAUACGAGCACAUCAGUGUGAUUCUGCUGUGAUGAAGGGGAAGAGAGGGCUCACUUUCGGGGGUGACAUUCAAGCUGGCCCCAAGGCCCGAGCAGGACCUGCCCAGGGGAAGAUCUGGAGGAAAGCCAUCUGAACAUACAAGAGCAAAGGCCUGGUGGAGUCAGGACCACCUUGGCUGCCAGGUGGAAUGGUGGAAUAACUCAGGAGUCUGUCAGGUCUCUGAGAUGUCAAACGGGCUUGGCACACACCCAGGAGCUCAAUGCUGCUGGGAGCUGAGCAGCUGGGAGCAAGGAGCCCUCAUCCCCACUGAUGAAGAGGCCAGCCCAGGCUCUAGGCUAAGCAGGCCUGUGAUUAUAAACAGCAGUGUCUCCCUGGACAAGUUUCUUGACCCCUGAGAAGAAUCUUGGAUCAUCAGCUUUGUGAGGGGAGAGGCAG
rnacentral:antisense_RNA from 1 species